rnacentral:rRNA from 1 species
GACGAACGCUGGCGGCGUGCUUAACACAUGCAAGUCGAACGAAGUGGCGAACGGGUGAGUAAUACGUGGGUAACCUGCCCUCCUUUUUGGGAUAAGACUUGGAAACGGGGUCUAAUACCGAAUAAAGGGGGAUGGGCUCGCGGCCUAUGAGCUUGUUGGUGGGGUGAUGGCCUACCAAGGCGGUGACGGUUAGCCGGCCUGAGAGGGUGACCGGGAAUGUUGAGCGGGCGAUACGGCCCAGGCUGCUACGGGGGGCAGCAGUUGCGGAUAUUGCACAAGGGGCAAGAGGCUAAUGCAGCGACGCCGCGUAGGGGAUGAAGGCUUUCGGGUUGUAAACCUCUUUCGCUGUCGACCGGGUAGGUGGAGAAAAAGCGCCGGCUAACUACGUGCCAGCAGCCGCGGUAUUC